GACGAACGCUGGCGGCGUGCUUAACACAUGCAAGUGGUGCGACGAACCAGGCUUCGGCCUGGGGCGAAGCCGCGAACGGGUGAGUAACACGUGGCAAUCUGCCCCUUUGAUCGGGACAACCCGUGGAAAUCCGGGCUAAUACCGAAUGAGGUGGCGACUCAUGAGAGUCGUCACGAACGGAAUCUUCGGCCUCCGCGAACGGAUGAGCCCGCGGCCCAUUAGCUUGUUGAUGGGGUAAUGGCCUACCAAGGCAACGAUGGGUAGCUGGUCUGAGAGGACGAUCAGCCACACUGGGACUGAGACGCGGCCCAGACUCCUACGGGAGGCUGCAGUGGGGAAUCUUGCGCAAUGAGCGACAGCUUGACGCAGCAACGCCGCGUGAGGGAAGAAGGCUUUCGGGUCGUAAACCUCUUUCAGUUAGGACGAAGCUUUAUUGGUUAAUAACCAAUUGGAGUGACGGUACUUUCAGAAGAAGCCCCGGCUAACUACGUGCCAGCAGCCGCAGUAA
rnacentral:rRNA from 1 species